rnacentral:rRNA from 1 species
CAUACCUAUUCGAAGGGAUAGGGUCGGUUCGGCCGGAUUUUACACAAGUGUUGCAUGGCUGUCGUCAGCUCGUGUCGUGAGAUGUUGGGUUAAGUCCCGCAACGAGCGCAACCCUCAUCCUUAGUUGCUAUCAGGUAAUGCUGAGUACUUUAAGGAAACUGCCAGUGAUAAGCUGGAGGAAGGUGGGGAUGAUGUCAAGUCAUCAUGGCCUUUAUGGAGUGGGCUACACACGUGCUACAAUGGUGUCUACAAUGGGCUGCAAGGUGCGCAAGCCUAAGCUAAUCCCUAAAAGACAUCUCAGUUCGGAUUGUACUCUGCAACUCGAGUACAUGAAGUUGGAAUCGCUAGUAAUCGUGGAUCAGCAUGCCACGGUGAAUACGUUCUCGGGUCUUGUACACACCGCCCGUCACGCCAUGGGAAUUGGUUUCACUCGAAGCU